GGCAGCUUACGGGAGUGCGACUGACGCUUAAGCUCGAAGGUGCGGGUAUCGAACAGGAUUAGAUACCCUGGUAGUCCGCACGGUAAACGAUGGAUGCCCGCUGUUGGUGUUUUUUGCCAGCGGCCAAGCGAAAGCGUUAAGCAUCCCACCUGGGGAGUACGCCGGCAACGGUGAAACUCAAAGGAAUUGACGGGGGCCCGCACAAGCGGAGGAACAUGUGGUUUAAUUCGAUGAUACGCGAGGAACCUUACCCGGGCUUGAAUUGCAGAUGAAGGAUCCAGAGAUGGUGACGCCCCUCGGGGCAUCUGUGAAGGUGCUGCAUGGUUGUCGUCAGCUCGUGCCGUGAGGUGUCGGCUUAAGUGCCAUAACGAGCGCAACCCCUCUCCCCAGUUGCCAUCGGGUUAUGCCGGGCACUCUGGGGACACUGCCGCCGCAAGGUGCGAGGAAGGUGGGGAUGACGUCAAAUCAGCACGGCCCUUACGUCCGGGGCUACACACGUGUUACAAUGGCCGGUACAGAAAGUCGGUGGCGCGCGAGCUCCAUCCAAUCCUCAAAGCCGGUCCCAGUUCGGACUGGGGUCUGCAACCCGACCCCACGAAGCUGGAUUCGCUAGUAAUCGCGCAUCAGCCAUGGCGCGGUGAAUACGUUCCCGGGCCUUGUACACACC
rnacentral:rRNA from 1 species